rnacentral:rRNA from 1 species
AACGAACGCUGGCGGCAUGCCUAACACAUGCAAGUCGAACGAGACCUUCGGGUCUAGUGGCGCACGGGUGCGUAACGCGUGGGAACCUGCCCUUAGGUUCGGAAUACCUCCCCGAAAGGGGUCCUAAUACCGGUUAAUUUCUUACCCCAAAGGAUUUAUCGCCUUGGGGUGGGCCCGGGUUGGAUUCGCUAGUUGGUAGGGUAAACGCCUACCAAGGCGACGAUCCAUAGCUGGUCGGAGAGGAUGCUCAGCCACACUGGGACUGAGACACGGCCCAGACUCCUACGGGAGGCAGCAGUGGGGAAUAUUGGACAAUGGGCGAAAGCCUGAUCCAGCAAUGCCGCGUGAGUGAUGAAGGCCUUAGGGUUGUAAAGCUCUUUUACCCGGGAUGAUAAUGACAGUACCGGGAGAAUAAGCUCCGGCUAACUCCGUG